rnacentral:rRNA from 1 species
GACGAACGCUGGCGGCGUGCUUAACACAUGCAAGUCGAACGGAAAGGCCCUGCUUUUGUGGGGUGCUCGAGUGGCGAACGGGUGAGUAACACGUGAGUAACCUGCCCUUGACUUUGGGAUAACUUCAGGAAACUGGGGCUAAUACCGGAUAGGAGCUCCUGCUGCAUGGUGGGGGUUGGAAAGUUUCGGCGGUUGGGGAUGGACUCGCGGCUUAUCAGCUUGUUGGUGGGGUAGUGGCUUACCAAGGCUUUGACGGGUAGCCGGCCUGAGAGGGUGACCGGCCACAUUGGGACUGAGAUACGGCCCAGACUCCUACGGGAGGCAGCAGUGGGGAAUAUUGCACAAUGGGCGGAAGCCUGAUGCAGCAACGCCGCGUGCGGGAUGACGGCCUUCGGGUUGUAAACCGCUUUCGCCUGUGACGAAGCGUGAGUGACGGUAAUGGGUAAAGAAGCACCGGCUAACUACGUGCCAGCAGCCGCGGUGAUACGUAGGGUGCGAGCGUUGUCCGGAUUUAUUGGGCGUAAAGGGCUCGUAGGUGGUUGAUCGCGUCGGAAGUGUAAUCUUGGGGCUUAACCCUGAGCGUGCUUUCGAUACGGGUUGACUUGAGGAAGGUAGGGGAGAAUGGAAUCCCUGGUGGAGCGGUGGAAUGCGCAGAUAUCAGGAGGAACACCAGUGGCGAAGGCGGCUCUCUGGGCCUUUCCUGACGCUGAGGAGCGAAAGCGUGGGGAGCGAACAGGCUUAGAUACCCUGGUAGUCCACGCUGUAAACGGUGGGUACUAGGUGUGGGGUCCAUUCCACGGGUUCCGUGCCGUAGCUAACGCUUUAAGUACCCCGCCUGGGGAGUACGGCCGCAAGGCUAAAACUCAAAGGAAUUGACGGGGCCCCGCACAAGCGGCGGAGCAUGCGGAUUAAUUCGAUGCAACGCGUAGAACCUUACCUGGGUUUGACAUGGAUCGGGAGUGCUCAGAGAUGGGUGUGCCUCUUUUGGGGUCGGUUCACAGGUGGUGCAUGGCUGUCGUCAGCUCGUGUCGUGAGAUGUUGGGUUAAGUCCCGCAACGAGCGCAACCCUUGUUCACUGUUGCCAGCACGUUAUGGUGGGGACUCAGUGGAGACCGCCGGGGUCAACUCGGAGGAAGGUGGGGAUGACGUCAAGUCAUCAUGCCCCUUAUGUCCAGGGCUUCACGCAUGCUACAAUGGCUGGUACAGAGAGUGGCGAGCCUGUGAGGGUGAGCGAAUCUCGGAAAGCCGGUCUCAGUUCGGAUUGGGGUCUGCAACUCGACCUCAUGAAGUCGGAGUCGCUAGUAAUCGCAGAUCAGCAACGCUGCGGUGAAUACGUUCCCGGG